AUUGUGGUAAACUGAGAUGCUGGUGCUUUUGUUCACCUAUAACUGGGCUGAUUGGUCUAGUUGCCUCUGUUUGUGAAUGUUCUUAAGCUGCUGCAGGUGGAUUGAAACCAUCUAUCCUCAUAUUCCAACAAUGUGGAGUUUAAGAAGACCAUGAUCUCACCAGUGAGGAGAAAAUGGCCACUGCUGAACAUUAAGGGGCAGCUUCUCAGAACUGACUUUGUUUUUUCUCAAUUUGCAACUUACAUUUACAUGUUUAACAGUGUGGAACAGUUUUAUAAAUUAAAUAUAAUUGGUUUCUGAA